CGGACGGGUGAGUAACGCGUAGGAAUCUAUCUUUGGGUGGGGGACAACCGUGGGAAACUACGGCUAAUACCGCAUGAGGCCUGAGGGCCAAAGCUUGUGAGAGCGCCUGAGGAGGAGCCUGCGUCCGAUUAGCUAGUUGGUGGGGUAACGGCCUACCAAGGCUGCGAUCGGUAGCUGGUCUGAGAGGAUGAUCAGCCACACUGGGACUGAGACACGGCCCAG
rnacentral:rRNA from 1 species